GGUUAAGCGACUAAGCGUACACGGUGGAUGCCCUGGCAGUCAGAGGCGAUGAAGGACGUGCUAAUCUGCGAUAAGCGUCGGUAAGGUGAUAUGAACCGUUAUAACCGGCGAUUUCCGAAUGGGGAAACCCAGUGUGAUUCGUCACACUAUCAUUAACUGAAUCCAUAGGUUAAUGAGGCGAACCGGGGGAACUGAAACAUCUAAGUACCCCGAGGAAAAGAAAUCAACCGAGAUUCCCCCAGUAGCGGCGAGCGAACGGGGAGCAGCCCAGAGCCUGAAUCAGUGUGUGUGUUAGUGGAAGCGUCUGGAAAGGCGCGCGAUACAGGGUGACAGCCCCGUACACAAAAAUGCACAUGCUGUGAGCUCGAUGAGUAGGGCGGGACACGUGGUAUCCUGUCUGAAUAUGGGGGGACCAUCCUCCAAGGCUAAAUACUCCUGACUGACCGAUAGUGAACCAGUACCGUGAGGGAAAGGCGAAAAGAACCCCGGCGAGGGGAGUGAAAAAGAACCUGAAACCGUGUACGUACAAGCAGUGGGAGCACGCUUAGGCGUGUGACUGCGUACCUUUUGUAUAAUGGGUCAGCGACUUAUAUUCUGUAGCAAGGUUAACCGAAUAGGGGAGCCGAAGGGAAACCGAGUCUUAACUGGGCGUUAAGUUGCAGGGUAUAGACCCGAAACCCGGUGAUCUAGCCAUGGGCAGGUUGAAGGUUGGGUAACACUAACUGGAGGACCGAACCGACUAAUGUUGAAAAAUUAGCGGAUGACUUGUGGCUGGGGGUGAAAGGCCAAUCAAACCGGGAGAUAGCUGGUUCUCCCCGAAAGCUAUUUAGGUAGCGCCUCGUGAAUUCAUCUCCGGGGGUAGAGCACUGUUUCGGCAAGGGGGUCAUCCCGACUUACCAACCCGAUGCAAACUGCGAAUACCGGAGAAUGUUAUCACGGGAGACACACGGCGGGUGCUAACGUCCGUCGUGAAGAGGGAAACAACCCAGACCGCCAGCUAAGGUCCCAAAGUCAUGGUUAAGUGGGAAACGAUGUGGGAAGGCCCAGACAGCCAGGAUGUUGGCUUAGAAGCAGCCAUCAUUUAAAGAAAGCGUAAUAGCUCACUGGUCGAGUCGGCCUGCGCGGAAGAUGUAACGGGGCUAAACCAUGCACCGAAGCUGCGGCAGCGACGCUUAUGCGUUGUUGGGUAGGGGAGCGUUCUGUAAGCCUGCGAAGGUGUGCUGUGAGGCAUGCUGGAGGUAUCAGAAGUGCGAAUGCUGACAUAAGUAACGAUAAAGCGGGUGAAAAGCCCGCUCGCCGGAAGACCAAGGGUUCCUGUCCAACGUUAAUCGGGGCAGGGUGAGUCGACCCCUAAGGCGAGGCCGAAAGGCGUAGUCGAUGGGAAACAGGUUAAUAUUCCUGUACUUGGUGUUACUGCGAAGGGGGGACGGAGAAGGCUAUGUUGGCCGGGCGACGGUUGUCCCGGUUUAAGCGUGUAGGCUGGUUUUCCAGGCAAAUCCGGAAAAUCAAGGCUGAGGCGUGAUGACGAGGCACUACGGUGCUGAAGCAACAAAUGCCCUGCUUCCAGGAAAAGCCUCUAAGCAUCAGGUAACAUCAAAUCGUACCCCAAACCGACACAGGUGGUCAGGUAGAGAAUACCAAGGCGCUUGAGAGAACUCGGGUGAAGGAACUAGGCAAAAUGGUGCCGUAACUUCGGGAGAAGGCACGCUGAUAUGUAGGUGAAGUCCCUCGCGGAUGGAGCUGAAAUCAGUCGAAGAUACCAGCUGGCUGCAACUGUUUAUUAAAAACACAGCACUGUGCAAACACGAAAGUGGACGUAUACGGUGUGACGCCUGCCCGGUGCCGGAAGGUUAAUUGAUGGGGUUAGCGAAAGA
rnacentral:rRNA from 1 species